rnacentral:lncRNA from 1 species
AUGCCUGGGUCCCCAGGUCUUAACAGUAAGUCCCUAGGCUGUGUCUCUCUCCCUUGCUCUACCAGUCUGAGGACCAUCCAUGCUGCCCCCAGAGCCUUGACAGCUCCUGAACAGAUUCCAGGCAAGAGAAACUGAAAGGAUCUCCUUUUAGCCCCUACUUUUGACUAGGGCCUUCUGCAUCACUUGCUGAGGUCAGUAGGUAAAAUGGGAGGGUUAGGGCAUAGAGGAAUGGUGCACACAGACCAGAGAGCUCUUUGCACCCUAGAAUUAGGGAGAGGAUAUGAGUUUUGCAUGGAGGUGUCCAUAGACUGGAGGAAUAAGUCUGAAAGGCUGACAGAUUGUUUCAAGAAGUGUCAAGCAAGCCAUGCAAGAAGGGAGGUGACUGGAUCUCAGGAAGUGGAGUGUGGAACCUUGCCCUGCCCUUGUGGGAUCUCCUGGGUGAGAAGUCAUGGUGGAUGGAAAGGAGUUGAACAGGGAAGCCCAGGGUGGCAGCAAUUAGGAUAGGGGAACUGAUGGGUGGUUGGACAGCUAUGAAGCUGUUCUUCUCAUCUGCCUGCCUCUGCUCUUGACUUCCCAGGUUUGGGAUGAGGGGAGAGGCCGUGAUUAGAAAGAAGGGGAUAUGGAAGCAGAGCUACCCCAGGCACUAGAAGACUAGAUGGAGGGCAGAAAAUGAGAAAGUGGUACAGAACAGAGACCUGGAGACAUUCGGGGGACAGGGAGCAGUUUAUGUUGAACUGGAAAUCUGGAAACAGGCCUCUCUGGUCUCGAAGUUCCCGGUAUUGGGGGCGCGGGAGCGGCAGCCGAGCAGGCUGGGUGGGGGGCGGGCAGCUGUGUCGUCAGGAGUUGGGGCGGCCCCGAGGCCGCUGCGUCUGCUUGGCCCGUCCUCUCCAGCCCAGCUCCAGCUCCAGCUCCUCCAGCGCCAGCGCCAGCGCUUCAGCUCCGACCGCUCGCGCUCCUCGGGCAAGGUAGAGACCCCGCCCUUCCACGCUCUCCCACUGGAGUAGGAGGCCGGCCUCCAAAGGGGUCGCCUCGCGGGCUGGGUUGGGGCUGCGAGGCAGCGAAGGAGGAAGCGUAACAGCUGGAGUGGGUGGCUAGGGUGGUUUGCGCUGGGACGCCGCGGGCAGGGGGAGGGUUGGGCCAGAACCGCGUAGGCAGCCUCUCCACAGACAUUUUCUUCCAUCCUUCCUGGUCACUCGGAAGGAUGAUGAAGCUCUGCUUCUUGGGGACCCGACUCCCAAGGAAGUCCCUUUUGGAAUCUCCACAGUGCCGCACAGGUGGAGAAGGGUUCUUAUUUGUCCUCCUGGUCCCCAACUUCCUGUCCUCAUCCUUUACACACCUGUCACCAGCUAGUUUCUAAAAAUCCCUGAUUCUGAAUCCCACUUUUCAGCUUCAAGUAAAAGAAAUGAGUCUUCUCGCGGAAGAAAUGCAAAUAGUGUUAGACAUCUCUUCAGCCUCAGAACAUACAUGGCCACAUCCCCACAACCAUGCCAAUAUCGUAACUUCCUCCAGUACUACGCAAUGAUACCCUCCACAUGUACCACCCCCUUAACCAGACAACACUAUCGUCUGCGAUGUUUGUGGAGGUUUAAUUAAUUUUGAGGCUUCGGGCCAAAUAAUUCUCUCUCGGGGACCACUGACUUACAGAAGCAGGAAUGAACAGGGAAUAAUAAACCUUUUUUCAGUCUUGGGAGAGGAAGAGGAUACAGUCCCUGAUAGAGUUAAGGGAUUCAGAGGCCCAGGUAAUCAGGCCUGAGCCCUCAAACUAGGAGUGCCUGCCCCUUGGGGAUUCUUGCUGGGACAGCCUGAAUGUCCUGGGGACAUAGCUAAUUCUUGAGUAAUGAUCAGCUUAUGACCUGGAAUGUGAAAAUUUAAAUGUUAGCACUGGCUUUAGCAAUGAUAUUUAUCUCUUGGUUAACACCAAUUUUAGUGUUUGAUGUUUAAAAUUAGAUCUAGGGAAUGAGAGAUACUAAGAUUUAGUGGGAUGGAGUAAGGACAGCACAUCUAGAGUCUAAGACUCUGACAGUCAUUUUCUCUAAGUCUUACUUUCCUCCAUUCUCUUCGUUUGAUUGUUUGUUAGAGAUGGGGUGGAGGGUGUUUCAGUAUGUUGCCCAGGUUGGGCUUGAAUUCUGGAUCCUCCUGGCCAGCCUCCUGAGAACCUGGAUAUAAAGGCAUGUGCCACUGAGCCCUGUUGUUCAGUUUCCUCCUUUGUAAAAUAUGAGAAUUGGCAACUCCCAGCUGAGAAUGUUGUAGCAUUCUUCACCUUUAAAUCAACAUAUUCCUUUUGCCCCAAGUUGGAAGAGGUGGGUAGGGAAACCAGAAGAGAGAAGGGUAGAGUGAGUCACAAAUAGCUGGCAGGCAGGCAGCAGACCCCACCCUUCUAGCCCUGGCAUUCGCCUGGACUAGCCCAGGUUAUAGCCUCAGGGUUGGGAUGGAGCUAGAGGACAAAAUUGAACUUGUUCCAGAUCUUUAAGGGCCCAGGAUCCUGCAGCUUGCUGUCCUUCACCCCCAGAGGCAUCCAAACUUUCAAUGAAAGAAGUCAAAAAGAAGAUUAAACAGAUCCAGGAGUCCUUAUGUCCAAGAGCUCAACCCAGGGAUGUCCUUGGACUCUUUUUUUUUUUUUAAAGGAUUUCCCCAUCUUUUUUUUUUUUUUUUUUGAGAGAGAUAGAUUUUAAUAUUUAUUUUUUAGUUUUCGGCAUCUUUGUUUGUAUGUGGUGCUGAGGAUCGAACCCAGGCCGCACACAUGCCAGGCGAGCGCACUGCCGCUUGAGCCACAUCCCCAGCCUCUGUCCUUGGACUCUUAACAGUCUAGUUUCUAAAAAUUCCAGAGCAAAGUAUAGGAUUCUGACAUUACUAUAUGUCGGUACCUGAUAUAUAAAAAGGGGUGGAAGGUAUACACCCGAGCUUCACUGCUGCUUGAAGUCCCUAGAACUUGUGCCUUUCUGGUUCAGUGGCAUAAUUUUUCAUAAUGUCCACAUAUCCUUCUCUAGGUAGAAUAAUAGCUAAUGUUUAUUGAAUUCUUUGUGACACACAGUUUAUUAUAUACAUUGCUUAUACAAUCUUAUUUAAUCUCCACUCUGUGACAGAUUUCUCUAGGUACCCAUUUUACUGAUGAAAACUGAGGUUGGGCUGGAGGCAUAGCUCAGUGGCAGUAUGCUUACUCAGCAUUCAUGAGGCACUUAUGCAUACAUAUACAACACUGAGAUUCAAGGAAAUGAAAUGACUCAUCCACAAGCUAGGAUUUUAACCUAUGCCUAAUUUGAAAGUCCAUCCCUGCCCCCUUUGUGGUAGGAGGGAUUGAAUUCAGACCUUUGCUAUGUUAGGCAAGUGCUCUACCACUGAGAUACAUUCCCAACCUUUUUUAAAUUUUUGAGACAGUUUUCACUAAGUUGCCCAGGCUGGCCUCAAACUUGGGAUUCUUCUGCCUUGGUUUCCCAAAGUGCUGGGAUUACAGGUUUAUACCACAAACCUGUCCCAAAGUCCGUUUUCUUAGUUAACUAGUAACUAGUGGUUACUAAUAUAUAGUAAUUGCUACAUACUACUUCUCCAGGUUUAAGGCCUGGAGAGCUAGGAAGAGGCAAAAACAAGUUGAGUCAUUGUGAAAAGAGAGACAAGGAGAUAAUCUGGAACACAUACAGUAGGUGGUAAAUCAAUAGUUGAUUUAUUUUCCUCUCUUUUAUUUUUCCUUGUGCUGUCAUUUUCUCCCUCAGAUUCUAUUUUUUCCAGAACUUUGGAGUAAUGUAAAAAUCCCCAAGGGGUUAAUCAGAAAGGCUAAUUAAGCAAUGCAGGCCCUAUUGAUACUAAGAUUGUUAUAUAUUCAUUAGAUCUGUUGGCAGCAGAAGUUGAAUUAUAGUAAUUGGUAAAGGCCAAAUGGGUAGUCUUUUCUCCAGGAUGUCAGUGUCCCAGGACCCUCUUCCAAGUGUUCCCAGAAAGCCCUGGAACAGGAAUGUUGUACUGCAUAGAGGUGGACAGCAGAGAUGUCCCAAGGGCAGAAGUUGCAGAGAAGGUUCUUGCGCCAUCAGAAAGGAAGGGGGCGGAACUAUUGUAGGCCCUAAAGGCCUCCCUGCUUUGCCUGAUCUCAUAAGCCCCAAAGGAGUAAAUGGAGGUCAAAAUGUUUGAUGAAGUAACUCAAUAAAUGCUUUAUAGAAUCAUUUACUCUUUUACCAACUAUUGAUUUACCAUCUACUGUAUGUGUUCCAAAUUAUCUCAUCCUUUCCUUACUGUUAAGUAGACACUGCUAUCCAUUUAAUCAUACUGAUUAACAGUUCCAAAAUAAGACUCCCCUGCUUUAUACAAUCAUUCGUAUAACCUAUAUUGAGCACUCACUAUAUGCUGGACGUUCUUUUAGGUACUUGGACUAUAUUGGCAAACAAGACUGACAAGUUCCUGCCCUUAUGGAACUCACAUUUUUUUAAAAUAAUUAUUUUAUUACAUUUAUUUGUAUGUGAUGCUAAGGAUCGAACCCAGUGCCUAACACAUGCUAGGCAAGCACUCUACCACUGAGCUCCAGACUCAGCCAUGGAACUCACAUUUGAUAGAAGAGAACAGUAAAUAAAAAGCAAAUUUCCAGUUACUUUGGAUGCCAAGGUAGGAGGAUCACAAGUUUAAGGCCAGCCUGGGCAAUUUAGUGAAGCCCUGUCUCAAAAUAAAAUAAAAAUAAGGACUGGGGAUGUGGCUUAGUGGUGGGGUGCUUGCCUGGCAUGCACCACAAUCCUCAUCACCACAAAAAAUAAAAUAAAAUAAAAAUAAGGGUUGUUGAUGUAACUCAGAAGCAGAAUUAUCCAGGAUUCAAUCCCAUAACUCCCCUUCCCCCACUGCCUGGGACACACACACAAAGAAACAAAUAAAUAGGGAAGAUAAUUUCUACUUGUGAUAAAUUCUAUGAAGGAAACAAAGAAGAAAUACCAUUUUAAGAUGGAACAGUCAAGGAAGCUCUCUUGGAGGAGCUGAUAUUCAGUUGAGGCAAGAAGUUGGCUUUGCCAGGUGUGGGGAGGAGGAUGCAGUGCUGCACAACUAUAAUCCCAGUGACUCUGGAGGAUGAGACAGGAGGAUUGCAAGUUUGAGAUCAGCCUCAGCAACUUAAGUGAGGUCUUAAGCAACUUAGUGAGAACCUGUCUCAAAAUAAAAAGUAAAAAGGGCUGGAGACAUGGCUCAGAGGUAAAGUGCCUCGAGGUCCAAUCCCCAAUAUCCAAAAUAAAUAAUAAAAACUUAACUUUUAAUAUAAUAACUACCAUUUUUAUAGGCUUCCUGUAUGCAAGGCAUUAUACUAGGCAUUUUUCAUAUAUUAUAUUAUUUAAUAUAAUUGUGAAAGCUAGGUAUCAUUCUCCCCACUUUACAGAUUUAACUUGCCCGAGACACACAGAGCUAUCAGAGCUAAGAAUUGGAACCAAAUAGAACUGACUUUUAGUUCUGUUUGACUCUAAAAUCGUGCUGUACUAUUUACUAUUGUAAUAUGUAAUAACGUACUUUUUGUUUUCUUCUGGUACUGGGGCUUGAACCCUGGGGCGUUUAACAACUGAGCCAUAUCCCCAGACUUUUUAUUUUAUUUUUUUAUUUUGAGACAGCAUCUCAAUAAGUUGCUUAGGGCCUCGCUAAAUUGCUGAGGCUGACUUUGAACUCCAGACCCUCCCGCUUCAGCGAUCCUCCAGCCUUAAACCGCCCCCACCCCCAAGUCGCUGGGAUUACAGGCGUGCACCACCACGUUCAGCCGUAACAUGUAAUUAUUGUAUUGCUGUUUUUGAACCAUCAAGGCAAGUCGCCUUCUGCAACUUGGUCCCUGUUUGGGGGGAUGGAGUGUGAGGAUCAGCAAUAUCCACGUGAGAGCUCCUCCUUGUUUCCUGGGUCCAAUAGCAGAAAGUUGGGGUUCCCUAAACCUAGGGUUCCUCCUAGGUUCCUUAAACUUAGGAGGGUGGAAGGAAGACCCUGGCAUCCAAGACUCCAGCACGCAGCUCCAUGGUGCGGCGCCUGGGAAAUGAGGCUGGUGUACAGAGCAUUCUACCACUACCUCCUCCCAGCCCCGCGCGCCUGGGUCCCCACCCUUUCCCAGUGGAGCUCCACGGCGAGGCGGGGCCAGAGCUAGGGACCCAGCCAGAGCCUGCGCUGGUUCUGUGUCGCGCGUCAGAAGCGCUAGAGGUCGUUGCGGGGCGAAGUGGAAGUGGGUAGCUGAGCGCCCUGGGGACCCCGGCUAGAGGCGGAGCAAGAUGGGGUCCUGGCCUGGGAGGCGUGCUAGCUUAGUAAGAACCACCCGGAGGGCUGGCGGGGACUGCAGACCUGAGAUGGAAGAGAAGUCGGGCUAUGAAGAGACAACAGAGACUGGGGGUGGCGUGAGACACAGAAACAGGCCAGAGAUAUAUUCAUAUAAACAUAUAUAGACUUGGAAAGGAGGGGUGGAAGGUGGGGAGGUGAUGAGGGUCAGGUGAAUCAAGAUGGAUUUGGGGAGAAGUCAGAGUGGGAAAAGAUCCAGAAAUGAAGGAGAUAAAGUUAAGAAAUGAGUCAGAGAAACAGAGAUAGAGGACAGGCUCUGUAAGGGAAAAUAGAGAGGGGGAGGUUUAGGGAGGGACACAGAGAAGGAAAGCACAGAAAUCACAGUGGGAGUAAAGACUGAAUGGAUCAGAGAGAAACAAAGAAAUCCAGACAGCUGGCUCUUCUCCAUGUAGCUCUUGUCAUCUUCCUUCAGGCCUACCCUCUGAAGAGGACAAACCGCAAGAAGUACUACUACGAAGCUAUCUUUCUGGCCAUCAUUCAGAAAAACAGAAAGAUGGCCAAGGAAAGGGGACUAUUAAGCCCUGAAGACUUUGCCCAGCUGCAAAAAUACAUGGAAUGUGAGCCUUCCUCCCAGCUCUUCAGUUCUUGGAGACUACCCAAAGAAUCCCUCUUUAUUCCUAUUAUAUUUUCCCCAUCACGCCCCAGUUUCCCCAGUGGCUUUAAGCCAGUCUGUCAGAUGGACCCAUGACUGUGUAAGGGAGAAAAACAGAUAAGGAGAUGCCUGGGGUCUCAGCUCUCUACCCACCUUCUGUAUACUUUGACUGCUUUCUGCAAGCCCCAGAAAAGAAAAGAGUGGUACCAUGUUAGAGGAUCUGAAAUGUUUUUCCCUUUGUAUUUCUGUGUUUCUCCUUAGAAUUCUUCCUUCAUCUCAUUCAAAUCUUUUUUUUCCCAUUGGAUGUCUGAGUGGGACUCUGGCAGAAGGCCAGAAGAGCCAAGAUGCCAAGAUGGACUAAUAUUCUUUUCUUACUCUCUUCACACCUAGACUCCAACCAAAAGGUCAGUGAUGUCCUAAAACUCUUCGAGAACGAGAAGAUGGCCAAAUAUCUCCAAGGAGAUGUGAGUGGCAGCUGGAAAUUCUGCUCCUUAAUCAACUUCUUCUUCUUCUUUUUUUUUUUUUUUUUGCCACUCCAUUGGAAUCCCCACUUCAGGGAUUAUUCUUGUCAGCUCGCCUCUAAAUGCCCCAUUGUCCAUUGUCAUUGCAGCUUUUGCUUUAAGACAAAAUAAGAGAUCCUUUGGAUUUGGCUUGCCAAGAAGCAUAUUACUGUUUCAAAUGCUUCUCAGCUUUGCACUUACUGUAUCUGGGCCCACUAUUCCUAGUUCUUCAGUCCCCAACUCCUACCCUGCAAACUCCCAGAGUAAUGCUCACUUCCAUCACAGGCCAUUGGCUAUGAGGGAUUUGAGCAAUUCCUGAAAAUCUAUUUGGAAGUGGAUAAUGUUCCCCAUCACCUAAGCCUGGCACUGUUUCAUUCCUUCCACACUGAUCACUGCUUAAAAGAGAAUGUAAGGAAAGGUAUGUUUCAUGGUAGGACUGGGCUGGGCCUGUGGAAGAAAAGUAAAAUUAGUGCGUUUGAGGAUGAGGUUGAAUUGAGUCACAUGUUGAGUGGGUCAGGAGAGAGUGGUGGAGGGUAGUAAGGCUGGACUAGGAGUUAGCUGGAGGAAAGUUCAAGGGGGAAAGUUGUAAUAAAUAAAGGAGAAGAGAACCAAAGUGGAGGGGCCCUGACCUCAGAUCUGCUGUACUUUUUUGUAGCAAAUGUGGUAUGUCUCAGUGAUGUCUCCUGUUACUUUUCCCUUCUGGAGGGUGGCCGGCCAGAAGAUAAGCUAGAAUGUGAGUUGCUAUUCUGGACUGGGAGAGGGGAGGAAAGGUGAGGGAAAAGGGAGAUAUUCAUUCCCUAGCCUCCCUUCCCUCAUUCUUUCAGGAUUCCUAAAGGCUGACAGGGCCAGACAAAGGUGGGGCCAGAGAUUGGGCCCAUUUCCUCUGUUCUUCCAGACUACUUAUACCUAAUGCCAUCCCUCAUAGUCACUUGAAUUCCCACAUUUUGUACAUUCUUAUGUAGGCAGUCUGGGAUGUUCUCGGGAUAUGGGAAUGUGUGUUAUCUCCCCCAUCUGAUUCACUGAGAGUGGCAUCUAUGCCUGCUUUCCUUCCCUUUUUGUCUUCUUUUUCAGUUCCACCCUAAGUCCUAGGCUCUUCACCCAAAAGUUUUUUUCCCUAUCUCUGUUUCCCCUGUAUUCUGGUGUAAUUAUUUAGUUAUCUCUCACAAACUGACCCCAGCCUCCCUAAAACACCCCACAGUCNAAAAAAAAAAAAAAAAAAAAAAAAAGAAAGAAAGGAAAAAAAAAGAGAGAGAAGGCUAGAAGACAUUGAAUCCUCUAGGGACUAAAUUUGGGAGUAGGUCCUAAGCUCUUGACCCCUAAAAGAGAAGCCUGGAGACAUGAACUGGAAGCUGACUUGCAAAUAUACAAACACAUUUAUUUACUUGGUAGAAGCACCUAAGAAUGAGAGAGAGGUCUGGGAAUGGAGCUUAGAAACCCUGGUUUCUGGAGAAGAGUCUAGUGUGGCAGUAGCAAUGGGGGUAUGGCUGUGGCUCUUUUCCUUUUUGCCCCAGGAAGUGGAAAGAAUCAUACUCCAGAUGACACGAGUGGCUGAAUAUCUGGAUUGGGAUGUGUCAGAGCUGAGGCCGGUAAGGCAGUUCUUCCUCCCUGUCCUUUAUUAUGCCUUCUUCUUUGGUGAUCCUACAUCUGCCUUACCCUGUCUCUGAUAGGCCACCUUGUUCCCUCAGCUAGGAGGGUUGUGCUGGGUAUCCCAGGAGACAGUGGAGAGGUCUCUGAGGGGCAUAUCUACCCAAGUCCCUUCCCACUCUGUUCAGAUUUUUCAGGAGAUGAUGAAAGAGAUUGACUAUGAUGGCAGUGGCUCUGUCUCCCUAGCUGAGUGGGUCCGAGCUGGGGCCACUACGGUGCCGCUGCUAGUACUGCUGGGGCUGGAGAUGGUGAGUAGAAGAAGCUUGUUAGGAUGGCUUCUACUUGUCAGAGAUUAGCCUGCUAAGGGCUUAGACACUCCUUAGCAUCCUCUGUGCCCUCCCAGACUCUGAAGGAUGAUGGGCAGCACAUGUGGAGACCCAAGAGAUUUCCCAGACCAGUCUACUGCAACCUGUGCGAGUUGAGCAUUGGUCUUGGCAAACAGGGGCUGAGCUGUAACCGUAAGUAAUGGGACCCGGGAGUGUGGGAGAAGAUUGGAGCCCAAUUAUCUGCAGGAGCAUGACACUGAACUAAGACAUGGGUUUGAAUACUAGGUUUGAAUACUAGGUUGUGCUACUAACUAGUUAUGUGAUCUUGGGAAAGCCACAUAACUUGUUGUUUUGUAGUGCUGGGGAAUCAAACCCACUGUCUCAUGCAUCUUUUUUAAGCUUUAGUUUCCUCUACUGAAAAUGAAGUCAUUGUGAGCAUUAAAUAGUUUGAUACUAAAAAAAAAAAAAAAAAAAUGUGCUUCACAGCCAAGCUUGGUGGUGUACACCUGUAAUCCCAGUUAUUCAAUAGGCUGAAGCAAGAGGAUCACAAUUUCAAGGGCAGCUUCAGCAAUUUAGCAAGACCCUAUCUUAAAAUAAAAAAUAAAAAGGGCUGGGAUGUGGCUCAGUGGUAGAGUACUCCUGAGUUCAAUCCCCAGUACUGCAAAAAAAGAAAGAAAAAGAAAAGUGCUUCACACGUUGUAAUCACACACUAUAAAAUGCAAUAAAAAGUAGUUAGCCAGGCACGGUGGUGAAUGCCUGUAAUUCCAAUGGCUCAGAAGGCCGAAGCAGGAGGAUAACAUGUUCAAAGCCAGCCUCAGCAAUUUAGUGAGACUCUAAGCAACUUAGCAAGAACAGGUUUUGGAUGUGGCUCAGUGAUUAAGCCCCUUUGGGUUCAAUCCAUGGCACCCUCCCCCACCACACAUACAAAAAGUAGUUAUUGGCUGGGUUUAGUACACAUGCCUGUAAUCCCAGCAACCAGGGAUACUGAGGCAGUAGAAUUGCAAAUUCAAGGCCAUCCAAGCAAUUUAGUGAGAUCCUGUCUCAAAACAAAAUUUAAAAAAGGUUUGGGGAUGUAGGUAGGUGUAGACCUCCCCUGGGCUUAAUCCAUAAUACCAAGAAAUAAAUAAAUAUUAGUUAUUAUUGAUAAUGUUAUUUCUGGGCCUCCCUUAGAUCAUCCAGCCUAAUUCCAGCUGGCCCAUGGAUGGUGUGGAGACAGGCUUAGGGUGGUAGUUGCUUUUUUAGGAGGAGGAGUGAGAAGAAGUCACAGUUUUUGGAGGUGAAUCCCCCCCACAAAAAAAUUAAUUAUCUGCUACACCCUUGAAAGCAAGGAAUUUGAUGUCUUGUUCUAGAGGGUGAUCCUUUCCCCAAGUAAAGAACAGAUGUGGGAAAGGACUGCAGCUAAGGCUCUGACCUUUUUCCCUUUCCCCCAGUCUGUAAGUACACUGUUCACGACCAGUGUGCCAUGAAGGCCCUGCCUUGUGAAGUCAGCACCUAUGCCAAGUCUCGGAAAGACAUUGGUGUGAGUGAUCCCUGGAAGCUUCUCCCACUCCCCACAUUGCCACCCCCAUCUUGGCCCCGGUCCUUAGUUUUUUGCUCCCCUCGGCCUCUUCCUCCCCCAGUCUCUGCAGACUAGGAACUGUCUUUCUCCCUAAGGUCCAAUCACACGUGUGGGUGCGAGGAGGCUGUGAGUCCGGGCGCUGUGACCGCUGUCAGAAAAAGAUCCGGACCUACCACAGUCUAACCGGGCUGCAUUGCGUAUGGUGCCACCUAGAGGUGUGAGAGCUCUCCGUCCAGUCUAUAUGCCUUCUGGUCUCUCCUCAAGGGCCCUCUCUCCACAGGCCUCCUCAAUCCCACCUCCUUUACAGCUGUAGUUGUCCUCGCUCCCAAGGGCUCUCUUUCCAAUCCAGACCCAAGUUGAAAGGUGGUAGAGUCCCUUGCAUGAUCCUGUAUGCCCAUCUUGUCUUUCAGAUUCAUGAUGACUGCCUGCAAGCCGUGGGCUCUGAGUGUGACUGUGGGCUGCUCCGGGAUCACAUCCUGCCUCCAUCUUCCAUCUAUCCCAGCGUCCUGGUGAGACACAUAGAAUGUCAUUUAGAACAGGAGACCCUAUACUUCUAGGAUUCGAGUCAGGCCCAUCUGUUUAGGGAUUUAUACACAAUCCAGCUCUCCUUCCCUCUGCUUUGCUCCCCUCCCAGGCAUCUGAACAGGAACGCAAACACAGCAAAACAAGCCAAAAGACCACAGAUGACUCAAAUUUGUGCAUCUCUGAAGCUCUGCGGGUACAGGGUUGAGGUCUUGGGCUUCAUGGUGGGGUCAGUUUUUGGCUGGAGCUGACAUGGGAGGGACUGAAGUGGGAAAUCCUUGGGAAGUGCUGCCUGAUUUCUAGAGGCUCCAUGGGGUAGGAGAGGAGAGAAGAACAUGAAGGAGGGGGAAAGCAUUUGGGAAAUGCCAGUCCUCUGCCCCUGUCUCCAGGACCCACUUUAACACUGACAAAAUCCUGCUUUCUUUAUUCUUAUUUUCUUCCCCAACUGCAGAUCAACCCUGUUUCUAACACCCACCCACUUCUAG